GUUUGCUGUUACACCCUCCUUCCUCAAACAGCAAAGACUUGUUGUAAAACAGAGCUGUUUCUAGAACCAGAUCCACCUACAAGUCAUUUAAAAGCCUCCUACCUCAAAUUUGCAGCUAUAAAUUCUUGCAGGGCGUUGGAAGGGAUCCUUUAGUUUACAGUGAUGCCCAUCCUGAUCUGUGCAAGAAAUCCAGGAUUAUCCAGGACUGUGGUCUCUGUGCCAGGAUCCAUCCUUGCCAAGCUGGGGGAACACAAAGGAUGCAAAGAAAGUACAUGGAGAAACUCUGCAGAUUUUUGUGUCCUCCCAUUUCUCUUGUUCAUUCCUCACAGAUGGAAUUCCAGAGUUUAAAAUGUGACUGUGGCAAAUCAGAGGGUCCUGAGGAACAGUAUGGCUCAGAGCAGCUGUGUGCUGGAGGUUGUCAGAGCUACUGGAGGUGCCGGAUGUUUCUGUAAACACCUCAAUCCAAGCACCCUCAUGGUUAGACUGAGGCCAGCUUGCUGCUGACUCCUGCCUCUGCCAGAAGGGCUCAGACUGGAGAAUAUGAGCAUUUCACAGAUGGGAUUAAGCACAAGUCACUCCUGUGCCCAUUCCUACCAGUCCCUUCAGGAGAUGUGUUUGUCUGGAGCUGCUGGAAAUCAAGCAUUCCCCAGUAUGUAACUUAUUUCAGGGCUGUUCCAAAGGCUGCUGGAAUGCAAGAGACUUCCAGAGUAUUUUAAUAAAUAUAAAAAUUUAAAACAA